rnacentral:rRNA from 1 species
GGACUACAGGGGUAUCUAAUCCUGUUUGAUCCCCGCACUUUCGUGCCUCAGCGUCAGUUAUAGUUUAGUAAGCUGCCUUCGCAAUCGGUGUUCUUGACAAUAUCUAUGCAUUUCACCGCUACACUGUCAAUUCCGCCUACCUCAACUAUACUCAAGUCUUCCAGUAUCAAUGGCAGUUCUCCAGUUGAGCUGGAGGAUUUCACCACUGACUUAAAAGACCGCCUACGCACCCUUUAAACCCAAUAAAUCCGGACAACGCUUGCACCCUCCGUAUUACCGCGGCUGCUGGCAC